AGCGAACGCUGGCGGCAGGCUUAACACAUGCAAGUCGAACGCCCCGCAAGGGGAGUGGCAGACGGGUGAGUAACACGUGGGAACGUACCCUUUGGUUCGGAAUAACUUGGGGAAACUCAAGCUAAUACCGGAUAAGCCCUUAUGGGGAAAGGUUUACUGCCGAAGGAUCGGCCCGCGUCUGAUUAGCUAGUUGGUGAGGUAAUGGCUCACCAAGGCGACGAUCAGUAGCUGGUCUGAGAGGGUGAUCAGUCACACUGGGACUGAGACACGGCCCAGACUCCUACGGGAGGCAGCAGUGGGGAAUAUUGGACAAUGGGGGCAACCCUGAUCCAGCCAUGCCGCGUGAGUGAUGAAGGCCUUAGGGUUGUAAAGCUCUUUUACCCGGGACGAUAAUGACUGUACCGGGAGAAUAAGCCCCGGCUAACUUCGUGCCAGCCGCCGCCGUAA
rnacentral:rRNA from 1 species